rnacentral:lncRNA from 1 species
CCGGCCGCUCGGGCCGUUGUGGGGGCCGAGCCCGGCCGCGCGCACAGCUUCUAGUGGCCCGCAAGAUUCCUCCUGGGGCGGCGCUGGGAGCCUCGGGGCUCGGCUUCCUCGACCCCCGCCCCCAGGUUUCCUCUGCAGCCUGAGGUCGGGAAGGACGGACGGAGAGUGGAUCCUCCAGGUGGUGGGAAAAGCUUAACAGCCUGGUGCCAGUUACCCUGCGAUGGGAGAGGGGGCAGCCCCCAUAGAAGCACGGGCUUAUGGGACCCGGGUUCCUUCAGUGCUCACCCACGAAGAAGGGCUCCCAAACGGCCCCACUCGACGGCUCACCGGAGGAUGGUCCUGCGCAGUGGGUGUUUGUUGAACAGAUAAGAGACAACAAAACAGACUAAGAAGAGGCCUGUUCUAUGAACCGGG